rnacentral:rRNA from 1 species
GUUAUGGCUUACCAAGGCGACGACGGGUAGCCGGCCUGAGAGGUGAUCGGCCACAUUGGGACUGAGAUACGGCCCAGACUCCUACGGGAGGCAGCAGUGGGGAAUAUUGCACAAUGGGCGGAAGCCUGAUGCAGCGACGCCGCGUGAGGGAUGACGGCCUUCGGGUUGUAAACCUCUUUCAGCAGGGACGAAGCUUUUGUGACGGUACCUAGAUAAGAAGCACCGGCUAACUACGUGCCAGCAGCCGCGGUAAUACGUAGGGUGCGAGCGUUGUCCGGAAUUACUGGGCGUAAAGGGCUCGUAGGUGGUUUGUCGCGUCGUCUGUGAAAUUCCGGGGCUUAACUCCGGGCGUGCAGGCGAUACGGGCAUAACUUGAGUACUGUAGGGGUAACUGGAAUUCCUGGUGUAGCGGUGGAAUGCACAGAUAUCAGGAAGAACACCGAUGGCGAAGGCAGGUCUCUGGGUAGUAACUGACGCUGAGGAGCGAAAGCAUGGGUAGCGAACAGGAUUAGAUACCCUGGUAGUCCAUGCCGUAAACGGUGGGCGCUAGGU